CGGAGUAAAUAAAAUCAAAAUAAAAAUCCAUAGCCUCGAGCAGUCAAGCCCUUCGAUUCUUCUACCGCACGGCUUUUCGCAGACGCUAAGACGCAGAGCCGGUAACUUAGCGCCUCAACAAGUCAGCGGCUCCCUCCGCCAUCCAGCUCUCACACUCGCCGGCGGUAGUCUUCGUUGAAUCGACUCUGUCUCUGAGUCUCUCACACUCGCCGCCGCAGCUCCGCCACGCAACGCACCAGCACUCCAGCUCAACAGCUCUCCUCCAGCUCUGCUCUAACGCCUUUCUUCGAAGCUCGACAGUCGACGAGGAAGCGUCCAGUAGCAAUGAAGCGCCCCAGGCAGCAGGUUUGUGAUAAAAUCUUCUGCAUACUACAGUAUCUGAAAUUAGGAGCUGCAAAGUAAGAUGUAUAUAUGGAAGACUUAAAAUGGAGAAGUAAGAAACUUUGUUGAUACAUAUAAUCUAUCAAGUCUAUAGCAGCAUAUUAAAGAUUUCAUAACUUACACAGCUUGCCAGAAUGAGUUUACAAAAUAAGCUUAAAAAUCAAAGCACAUCAAGGAUGAAGAAAGCAAGGGUGAUCUUGGAUGAUGGUGAGGAUGAUGAUGUGCAAGAAUUGUCAAUGGGAGAAAGACAACUAUCAUCUCACAAUUCUGUUAUUUAUCCAAGUUCCGGGACGGCUAGCAAAAGAAAAACAAUCAACAUUAAGAUUUGCAGAAUCGCAACCAAGAGCGGGAAAACAAAAUCAAUCGGUUGCAGCAUUGUUUAGAAAGACUCCUGAAGAAGUUGUUGAGGGGAGACAUUCCAAGAGUCCUACUCAAAUAACACUUGAAACUUGUACAAAGAGCAAGGAAGAAAAAAAGAGGACAACAAUGCAUAUAGCAAAUUUCUUCUAUGAGUGUGGCAUACCGUUCAAUGUGGCAAAUUCAAGGAGUUUUAAAAUUAUGAUUGAAUCAAUUGGACAAAUGGGAUCCGGAUGGAAGCCUCCUAGCUCUCAUGAGUUACGGGUACCUCUCUUUGAGAAAGCAAGAAAGGAGACUAACAAGUUGAAAGAAAAACACCAGCUUGCUUGGAAGCAAUACGGGUGCACACUCAUGUUAGAUGGGUGGACAACUAGGAGGAAUAGAUACUUGAUUAACUUCCUUGUCAAUAGUCCCAAGGGGACUUUCUUCUUGGAGACAGUUGAUGCAUCGAGUGAGUCACAGGAUGCAACAAUGUUAGCUGCAUUGCUGGAGAAAAAAAUUGAAGGAAUUGGCAAAGACAAUGUUGUUCAAAUAGUGACCGACAAUGGGGCUAAUUAUAAAGCCGCCGGUAGACUUUUGGAAGAGAGGAUUCCUACAUUAUUUUGGACUCCUUGUGCAACACAUUGUCUUGAUCUCAUGCUAGAGGACAUUGGAAAGUUGGCGGAGUUUAAGUCUAAGAUUGCAAGUGUUAGAAAUGUUACUACUUUUAUUUAUAGACACGACCGACUUCUUAAUGCUAUGAGAGAGCAAAUAGGUGGGAAAGAUCUUGUGAGACCUGGAGCUACUCGAUCCACCACAUCAUUCCUCACAUUACAAAGUUUGUACAAGAACAAAAAUGGUUUGAGAACUUUAUUUGUUUGUGAGGAUUGGAACAACUCUAAAUUGGCAAACACAGAAGCAGGUAAAAGAGUGUGUGACAUUGUGCUUUCAUCUAGAUUUUGGACUGCUAUUGAGGAUUGCAUAAAGGCAUCACAUCCCCUUCUGAUUGUAUUGAGGAUCGUCAAUGGUGAUACAACUCCAACUAUGCCCGAGCUUUCUAUGGCUAUGUUGACUGCUAAGAAGAAACUCAACGAAUCAUUUGCAAGCAAGCCAAUGUUGUUGGCAAAGUUGAUGUCUAUUGUUGAGGGGAGAUGGAAAGAUCAAAUGGAAGUAAAGUUAUAUGGAGCUGCAUUGUUUUUAAAUCCUUCCAAAUAUUUUGAUCUUAUGGAGAAUGAUAUUAGAUAUGCUUGUGAGCAACGAGCCAUGUUCAAUGAUGUAUUUGAGAAGAUGAUCAUCGAUUUGGAUUUGCAAGUGAAGAUUAGCAAUCAAGUUGAUGAUUAUUAUAACAUGAGAGGAAACUUUGGGAAGCAAUUAGCAAUCAAGCAACAAAAAACAAAGACUCCUCUUGAUUGGUGGAAUGCUUUUGGUGGAGAUAGUAUUGAGCUUCAAUCACUUGCAAUGCGCAUCAUAAGCCUUUGUUGUUCAUCUUCCGGUUGUGAGCGCAAUUGGAGCACAUUUGAGUCUAUCCAUACAAAAAGAAGAAAUCGCUUAGAGCACAAGAGAUUGAACGACUUGAUCUAUGUUCAAUAUAACCUCAAAAUUGCAAAUAGGUUUCAAAAGUUGCAUGAAGAAGGGUCUAACUUGAAUCCAUUGAUCUUAGAAGAGUUCCAAUGGAACAACGAAUGGGUUGAUGGUAGUGAUGAUGCUGUUCAUCCCGGGGGAGAUAUUUCAUGGCGGCUUGUUGAUGAAGUAAUUGGUGCAUCAAAUAACCUUGAGGGCCAUAAUCUUUUUACGAGAGCUAACGUAGGGGAAGGUACGAGUGCACCAACAUUGAGCCAUUCACGACGCCGCAAUACUUCUAGUUUUAUGAUUGAUGAGGAAGAACAAAAUGAAGAAGAAGAUCCUUUUCCAAAUGAUGAUGAAGAUGUUGAUGAUGACGACAAUGAGGGGCAAGGGAAUAUGAGUGACUUUUUUAUGGAUAUUUGAGAGUUUUAACUUGGAUUUUUUGAUAUGUUGCUGAACAAAAGCCUGCUAUAAACUGCUUUGACUAAUCUAGUUGUAUAACAACAAUUAGAGCUCACAGAGAAGAGCAAGCAUCUGAAGCGCCUAAUAGAUCAGUUGCGAGAUGUUAUUUCUGACAUAACCACC